UUUCUAUGAUGAUUCAUCAAUCAGUUCUGCUUCCGAAAGAGAGAGUAAUCUCCUGGUGGACAACCUUAUACCAAAAAACUCACUGACUU
rnacentral:snoRNA from 1 species